rnacentral:rRNA from 1 species
GACUGCAGGCUGCAACUCGCCUGCACGAAGUCGGAAUUGCCAGUAAUCGUAGGUCAGCAUACUACGGUGAAUACGUUCCCGGGCCUUGUACACACCGCCCGUCAAACCAUGAGAGUUGGCAACACCCGAAGUCGGUAGUCUAACCGCAAGGAGGACGCCGCCGAAGGUGGGGUUGAUGAUUAGGGUUAAGUCGUAACAAGGUAAC